rnacentral:rRNA from 1 species
AUUGAACGCUGGCGGCAUGCCUAACACAUGCAAGUCGAACGGCAGCACGGCAGUAGCAAUACUGUGGGUGGCGAGUGGCGGACGGGUGAGGAAUACGUCGGAAUCUGCCCAAUUGUGGGGGAUAACUAAUCGAAAGGUUAGCUAAUACCGCAUACGACCGAGAGGUGAAGGCGGGGGACCGCAAGGCCUCGCGCGAUUGGAUGAGCCGACGUCGGAUUAGCUUGUUGGUGGGGUAAAGGCCUACCAAGGCGACGAUCCGUAGCUGGUCUGAGAGGAUGAUCAGCCACACUGGAACUGAGACACGGUCCAGACUCCUACGGGAGGCAGCAGUGGGGAAUAUUGGACAAUGGGCGAAAGCCUGAUCCAGCAAUGCCGCGUGUGUGAAGAAGGCCUCGGUUGUAAG